AGCUAUUUUUAUUCCAAUUUUAAAAUUACAGGUAUUAAACGGCCAAAUAAAAAAUAAACCGCGGUUUUUAGGCUUUUCCUUUUAAUAUGUAUUCU
rnacentral:sRNA from 1 species